rnacentral:rRNA from 1 species
GCGGAGGAAAAGAAACCAACAGGGAUUGCCUCAGUAACGGCGAGUGAAGCGGCAAAAGCUCAAAUUUUAAAGCUGGCAUCUUCGGUGUCCGCGUUGUAAUUUUGUGAGGCAUCUCCGGGUAGGGCGCCGGCCUAAGUUCCUUGGAACAGGACGUCACAGAGGGUGAGAAUCCCGUGCUUGGCUGGCUGUCCCCGUCCAUGUGAGGUGUCUUCGACGAGUCGAGUUGUUUGGGAAUGCAGCUCAAAAUGGGUGGUAAAUUUCAUCUAAAGCUAAAUAUUGGUGGGAGACCGAUAGCGCACAAGUAGAGUGAUCGAAAGAUGAAAAGCACUUUGAAAAUAGAGUUAAAAAGUACGUGAAAUUGUUGAAAGGGAAGCGCUUGAGACCAGACUUCGGUAGGGAGUGAUCAGCCGUCCUUCUGGGCGGUGCACUUGCCCCCCUCCGGGCCAGCAUCGGUUGAGGCGGCGGGAUAAAUGUCCCGGGAAUGUGGCUCCUUCACGGGAGUGUUAUAGCCCGGGUGAAUGCCGCCAGUCUCGACCGAGGACCGCACCCGCAAGGGUUAGGAUGCUUGGCAUAAUGGUCUUCAGCGACCCG